GAUGAACGCUGGCGGCGUGCCUAAUACAUGCAAGUCGAGCGAACAGACGAGGAGCUUGCUCCUCUGACGUUAGCGGCGGACGGGUGAGUAACACGUGUAUAACCUACCUAUAAGACUGGGAUAACUUCGGGAAACCGGAGCUAAUACCGGAUAAUAUAUUGAACCGCAUGGUUCAAUAGUGAAAGACGGUGUUGCUGUCACUUAUAGAUGGAUCCGCGCCGCAUUAGCUAGUUGGUAAGGUAACGGCUUACCAAGGCAACGAUGCGUAGCCGACCUGAGAGGGUGAUCGGCCACACUGGAGCUGAGACACGGUCCAGACUCCUACGGGAGGCAGCAGUAGGGAAUCUGCCGCAAUGGGCGAAAGCCUGACGGAGCAACGCCGCGUGAGUGAUGAAGGUCUUCGGAUCGUAAAACUCUGUUAUUAGGGAAGAACAAAUGUGUAAGUAACUAUGCACGUCUUGACGGUACCUAAUCAGAAAGCAACGGCUAACUACGUG
rnacentral:rRNA from 1 species